rnacentral:rRNA from 1 species
GCCGCGAGGCGGAGCGAAUCCCCAAAAGGCGUCUCAGUUCGGAUUGCAGGGUGCAACUCGCCUGUAUGAAGUCGGAAUUGCUAGUAAUCGUGGAUCAGCAUGCCACGGUGAAUACGUUCCCGGGCCUUGUACACACCGCCCGUCACACCAUGGGAGCCGGAAAUGCCCGAAGCCAGUGACCCAACCUUAGGGAGGGAGCUGUCGAAGGUGGAGCCGGUAACUGGGGUGAAGUCGUAACAAGGUAGC